CCUACGGGGGGCAGCAGUAGGGAAUAUUGCUCAAUGGGGGAAACCCUGAAGCAGCAACGCCGCGUGGAGGAUGAAGGUUUUCGGAUUGUAAACUCCUUUUGUUAGAGAAGAUAAUGACGGUAUCUAACGAAUAAGCACCGGCUAACUCCGUGCCAGCAGCCGCGGUAAUACGGGGGGGGCAAGCGUUACUCGGAAUCACUGGGCGUAAAGAGCGCGUAGGCGGGAUAGCAAGGCAGAUGUGAAAUCCUAGGGCUUAACCAUAGAACUGCCUUUGAAACUGUGAGUCUAGAGUAUGGGAGAGGUAGGUGGAAUUCUUGGUGUAGGGGUAAAAUCCGUAGAGAUCAAGAGGAAUACUCAUUGCGAAGGCGACCUGCUAGAACAUAACUGACGCUGAUGCGCGAAAGCGUGGGGAGCAAACAGGAUUAGAUACCCGGGUAGUC
rnacentral:rRNA from 1 species